CGUCUUCCUCGCAAGACCCACAGGGGUCUCCGCAAGGUGGCCUGUAUUGGUGCCUGGCAUCCUGCAAGAGUCUCAUUUACUGUUGCCAGGGCUGGACAAAAUGGAUAUCACCAUCGUACUGAAAUGAACAAGAAAAUUUACAAGCUUGGCAAAGCUGGCCAAGAAUCCCACACUGCAAUAACUGAUUAUGACAGGACUGAGAAAGAUAUCACUCCAAUGGGUGGUUUCCCUCACUAUGGUGUGGUGAAGGAUGACUAUAUCAUGAUCAA
rnacentral:misc_RNA from 1 species